AUGGAGGCCCACUUCAGCUCCUGCUGGCAGCGUGGUGGCCGGCUGGGCCCUGGGAUCCACUGCUGGGAUCCGCAUCUCACAACUGAGGCUCUGGUCCUUCAUUGUGUGAAGAGUAAGAGGAAUGCCCUGGCCCUCAACUUUGAAAGACUUGUAAUGGAACCUCUAAGAAAACAUUACCCACCUGGACAAAUAAGAACCAUGCUGGAUGGUGCUGGAAGUUGUGGACAAGGUCACAGAGUGCCCUGCUGGAAGCAGUAUUUUGGAAAGGAUAAUCGGGAAGCAGUAAUUAUGUUCAAUAUUUCUCCUGGUAAUUAAUGUCAAUGAUUUGUCUCAGAGAAGUCACAUUGUUCCUGUAUUCUGAGAUGUAAGUGGUUAUUUGAAAAUUGGCUGGUGCGGUUUAGAUUUUGAUCUGUAGCUUUGGUUUUCUUAUGAUUCAUAUUGAUUGCUCCAAUUUGUAUGCUGUUUUGCUCUGUAGGUUCUUGAUCCACUUGUUUCUCUCCUUUUUGGCCAUGGUUAUAGGUUUAUGUUUCUAGUUUUCGAUUUUCUUUUAUUCUUGGAUUUUCAGUGUUUGUACUCAAGGUAGCUUUAUCUUUUUUUAAUAGUUCUUGCUUUUUAUAUAUUUGCCCUGCUAUCAGGUCUGUUUGGCCGUGUCCAUGGGAUAAUGGAAAUGAAAGCGUUUUGUAAGUUGAAAGUACUAUUUAAAGGUAAGAGAUGAUUGCUUUUUUAUUAAAAAUAAUAAUCUUUUUUAUAGCUCUGAGUCUUCAAGCUAUAAUCUGGGGGAAAGAGGAGCACCUGACUGGACAGGUGGGUCAUCUUUAUGCACUGAGAUCCUAGUUUGAGAUGGCUCUACACACCAAUGUCAUGAAUAGAUUCUCUGAGAACAUGGAUUACAGCUGGUGUCUGAUCUUGAGAAUGGGGGCAUGAGCCUAAAAAGGAGACAGAGGACUCACAGGGGCCAGCUCCAACAGCCUGACUUGUCCUACUUAAUCCCUGGUGGCUCAGAAGCUAAAGAAUCUGCCUACAAUGCAGGAGACCUGGAUUCGAUCCCUGGGUCAGGAAGAUCUCCUGGAGAAGGAAAUGGCUACCCAUUGCAGUGUUCUUGCCUGGAGAAGGGCUACAGUCCAUGGGGUUACAAAGAGUCAGACACAACUGACUGACUUUCACUUUCACUUGAUUUAUGCUCACACCCUGAUUUUGGAGACCUGAAAUACUCUUAUUGCUGGACCAAGACUAGGCCUAGAUCCCAUCUUUACCUCUUAUGCUCUCUCAGGGAUCUUGUGGUAGGCUGUAUGGCAAUAUUGGGGAAUGUCUUUGAUGACUCUAUUAGUUCACAUGAAAAUUCAUACCACCUUUUAAAAAUCAAUCCUAAAGUGGUUUGAAGACAGAACUUUAAUCCUGAUUAAGUAGCUCUGCCUCCUUAUCAAAUAGUGCUACAUAGAUAGCUAGUGGAAAAUUAUUAUA
rnacentral:lncRNA from 1 species